rnacentral:lncRNA from 1 species
UGAUUUAGCCAGUUAUUAAUGCCUAUUUUAGCAUGCUUGGAUAGAAAAAUUAUGUAAUUCAUUAUAACUUUUAUGUCUCAAUUAGUUAGUUUGACCACCAGAGGGCUGAAAAAGAUUAAAUAUUUUAUUUAAUUUUUUUUAUUGUAAAUAAAAAAUACAAAAAUGUCAAUCAAAUGCCAAUUAAAUGCAUGCACUGUAAAAAAUUUCUGUAAAUUUACAGCAUAUUAACAGCGUAAAUAUACAGUUCUGAACUGUUUUCUAAAAUUACGGUGUCUUACCGUAAAUGCACACGUGAUCGGUGGGAGAGGGGGAACCAAAGGCUAGCUGACGCAUGGAGGAGCAUGGUUUCAGUCAAAGUUUUAUGGAUUUCAUCUCAAGUUGAGGCUCAUUUACAGGUAAGCAGAUCAAAGUCUGAAUACAUUUUUAUCUUAAACUGCAGCGUUUUUUUUUUAUGUGGGCACAAUAUUUGAAUUUACCUUUGACAAAUCUUGCCAAGACGGUGAACUAGCAUGUAUGCAAUUUUUACAAAUUUCUCCUGAAAGUUAAGUGUGUAUGAGUGUGUUUGUGAAGGAUUUGCAUCGUUUUUGUUUUUUUUUCUGGUGUAAAAUCCUGUAAAUGUUAAACUUGUAAAUAGUUAAAUAUAAAAUACUUGCGUUCGCUGAUUCUUUAAUUGGAUAUGAAUUGAACAUAUUUGGCAACUUUAGAAGAUGAGCACGUGAUCGGUGGGGGAGGGGAGCAACGGUUAGCGUCUGAUACCAGAGAAAAGUCUCUGUGAAUAAAACGGAUAUUAUCUCAAAUAUAACGAUAUGCAGAUAACGAGGAUAUGAAGAACAUGAAGAUGGACUGGUUUCACAUGCAGAUGUUGCAGCAUCUGCAUCUGAGGUUGAGAAGACACUCAAUCUACCUGCCAAUCCUCAUGCUGGUCAACAUUUUUGACUGCAGUUGCAAGUGUUUGCUGUGCACUACAUCUUCAACCUGCAGUAUCAAGAGGCGGCUUGUUGCACGUUAGAGUUUUUUCAAAGUUUUUUCAGUUCAUCAUCUGAAACACUGUCAAAUGUGGUUUUA